rnacentral:rRNA from 1 species
CCCUUAGAUGUUCUGGGCUGCACGCGCGCUACACUGUCGGAUUCAGCGAGUCGUAUCCUUAACCGAAAGGUUUGGGUAAUCUUUUGAAAGUCCGACGUGAUGGGGAUUGAUCAUUGCAAUUAUUGAUCAUGAACGAGGAAUUCCUAGUAAGCGCGAGUCAUCAGCUCGCGUUGAUUACGUCCCUGCCCUUUGUACACACCGCCCGUCGCUACUACCGAUUGAAUGGUUUAGUGAGAUCUUCGGAUUGGCGCCUACGCGGCUUCUCUGAGGCCACGCUGGAUGCCGAAAAGUUGCUCAAACUGUAUCAUUUAGAGGAAGUAAAAGUCGUAACA